AUGAUGGACCUGCAAUGGCGCGUCAUGUUGUCGGCCGCCACUGGGGACAUGGACGCACACGGCGUGGCCGCUAGCGAACAACGUACGCUACGUGUGUGCCCGCGGUGCGGCGCCCCUGCCAGUUCGAGAUCCACACCGGUCUCUUCACCGCCGUCGUCAUGCUCCCUGCUGCCAGUCCGCCCUCCUCCACCACUAUCUCCUCGGCAAAGGGGCCGCUCCAUCCAUCGGUUCCUAGAAGGUAGCGACCAUGCCAUCUUUCUCCCUCUCAAUCCUUCUUUGUGUAUUUGGACUCUCACUGGGCACAGUCAAGUGACAAUUACAAGCACACAGAAGAUGAUGUUCUACUUGAUGCACUCUGCAAAGAAAAGAAGGUUGAUAUAG
rnacentral:rRNA from 1 species